GAUGAACGCUAGCUACAGGCUUAACACAUGCAAGUCGAGGGGAAACGACAUCGAAAGCUUGCUUUUGAUGGGCGUCGACCGGCGCACGGGUGAGUAACGCGUAUCCAACCUGCCCAUCACUUGGGGAUAACCUUGCGAAAGUAAGACUAAUACCCAAUGAUAUCUCUAGAAGACAUCUGAAAGAGAUUAAAGAUUUAUCGGUGAUGGAUGGGGAUGCGUCUGAUUAGCUUGUUGGCGGGGUAACGGCCCACCAAGGCAACGAUCAGUAGGGGUUCUGAGAGGAAGGUCCCCCACAUUGGAACUGAGACACGGUCCAAACUCCUACGGGAGGCAGCAGUGAGGAAUAUUGGUCAAUGGGCGAGAGCCUGAACCAGCCAAGUAGCGUGCAGGAAGACGGCCCUAUGGGUUGUAAACUGCUUUUAUAAGGGAAUAAAGUGAGAGUCGUGACUCUUUUUGUAUGUACCUUAUGAAUAAGGACCGGCUAAGUCCGUG
rnacentral:rRNA from 1 species